UACAGGGGGGGCAAGCGUUGUUCGGAAUUACUGGGCGUAAAGGGUUCGUAGGUGGCCAACUAAGUCAGACGUGAAAUCCCUCAGCUUAACUGGGGAACUGCGUCUGAUACUGGAUGGCUUGAGUGCAGGAGAGGAAUGCGGAAUUCCAGGUGUAGCGGUGAAAUGCGUAGAUAUCUGGAGGAACACCGGUGGCGAAGGCGGCAUUCUGGACUGCAACUGACACUGAGGAACGAAAGCCAGGGGAGCAAACGGG
rnacentral:rRNA from 1 species